rnacentral:rRNA from 1 species
GCGGCAAAAGCUCAAAUUUGAAAUCUGGCUCUUUCAGGGUCCGAGUUGUAAUUUGUAGAAGAUGCUUUGGGUGUGGCUCUGGUUUAAGUUCUUUGGAAUAUUACAUCAUAGAGGGUGAGAAUCCCGUAUGUGACCAGUCGCCGCGCCCGUGUAAAGCUCUUUCAACGAGUCGAGUUGUUUGGGAAUGCAGCUCAAAAUGGGAGGUAUAUUUCUUCUAAAGCUAAAUAUUGGCCAGAGACCGAUAGCGCACAAGUAGAGUGAUCGAAAGAUGAAAAGCACUUUGGAAAGAGAGUUAAACAGUACGUGAAAUUGUUGAAAGGGAAGCGCUUGCAACCAGACUUGCACGCAGUUGAUCAUCCGGUGUUCUCACCGGGGCACUCUGCUGCGUUCAGGCCAGCAUCGGUUUUGGUGGUUGGAUAAAGGCCUUGGGAAUGUAGCUUCUUUCGGGGAGUGUUAUAGCCCUUGGUGCAAUGCAGCCUACCGGGACCGAGGACCGCGCUUCGGCUAGGAUGCUGGCGUAAUGGUUGUAAGCGGCCCGUCUUGAACCACGGACCCAAACUUACAACCAUUACGCCGCAUCCUAG